GCGUGAAUCCAAUUACAAGGGUUCCGGCGGGAUCAACCGGAACUCCCGGCGUUGAAUCCAAUUCCGGCGGGAUCAACCGGAACUCCGGCGUUGAAUCCAAUUCCGGCGGGAUCAACCGGAACUCCGGCGUUGAAUCCAAUUCCGGCAGGAUCAACCGGAAAUCCGGCGUUGACUCCAAUUCCGGCAGGAUCAACCGGAAAUCCGGCGUUGACUCCAAUUCCGGCAGGAUCAACCGGAACUCCGGCGUUGACUCCAAUUCCGGCAGGAUCAACCGGAACUCCGGCGUUGACUCCAAUUCCGGCGGGAUCAACCGGAAUCCCGGCGUUGACUCCAAUUCCGGCGGGAUCAACCGGAAUUCCGGCGUCCCGGCGUUGACUCCAA
rnacentral:rRNA from 1 species